rnacentral:rRNA from 1 species
UCCCGUUGAUCCUGCGGGAGGUUGCUGCUAUUAGGGUUCGAUUAAGCCAUGCAAGUCUUUCCGCAAGGAAGGCAUACUGCUCAGUAACACGUCGAUAAUCUGCCCUUAGGUCUGGAAUAACCUCGGGAAACUGAGGGUAACACCGGAUAAGGAAAUCCAACUGGAAGGUGGAUUUCCUCAAAAGCAAUGCCUAAGGAUGAGUUGGCGGCGGAUUAGGUUGUUGGCGAGGUAAUGGCUCACCAAGCCGAAGAUCCGUAGGGGCCUUGAGAGAGGUAGCCCCGAGAAGGGCACUGAGAUACUGGCCCUAGCUCCACGGAGUGCAGCAGGCGCGAAACCUUUACAAUGCACGCAAGUGUGAUAAGGGAACCCUAAGUGAUAAUGCAAAGCAUUAUCUUUUGCCAAGAGCAAAUAUCUUGGAGAAUAAGUGGUGGGCAAUACCUGUGCCAGCCGCCGCGGUAACCCAGGAGCCACAAGUGGCAACCACCUUUAUUGGGCCUAAAGCGUCCGUAGCCGGUUUUGUAAAUUUUCUGUGAAAUCGUUGCGCUUAACGUAACGCCGUGCAGAAAACACUGCAAGACUCGGGACCGGGAGGAGUUAGGGGUAUUUUGGGGGGAGCGGUAAAAUGCUAUAAUCCCCGAAGGACCACCUGUGGCGAAGGCGCCUAACUAGAACGGAUUCGACGGUGAGGGACGAAAGCUAGGGGAGCAAUCCGGAUUAGAUAUCAAAAAUUCUCUGAAAUUUUUGGAAUUAGUCUCGCAUAGAUUGCAAAAACUACAAGUGCGAAAUGAAAGCCAAAGAUUAACGAUGAGGGUGCUUGACUAAUUACCCGAGUAGUCCUAGCUGUAAACUCUGCGAGCUAGGUGUUGCGCAUUCUUAGGGAAUGCGUGGUGUCGUAGCGAAGGCGAUAAGCUCGCCGCCUGGGGAGUACGGUCGCAAGGCUGAAACUUAAAGGAAUUGGCGGGGGAGCACUACAAGGGGUGCGGCGUGCGGUUUAAUCCAAUUCAACACGGAGAAUCUCACCAGGAGCGACGGCAGGAUGAAGGACAGUCUGAAGGGCUUUCCUAACGAGCCGAGAGGUAGUGCAUGGCCGUCGUCAGCUCGUGCCGUAAGGUGUCCUGUUAAGUCAGGCAACGAGCGAGACCUGCACACACAAUUGCUAACGAGACCAGCAAUGGAUGAUCGAGCACAUUGUGUGGACUGCUCUAGAAAUGGAGAGGAAGGCGCAGGCAACGGUAGGUCUGUAUGCUCCGAAUCUUCUGGGCUACACGCGCGCAACAAUGGUAGGUACAAUGGGAUGCAACACCGAAAGGUGGAGCUAAUCCUCGAAAACCUAUCCUAGUUCAGAUUGUGGGUUGUAACUCACCCACAUGACGUUGGAAUCCCUAGUAAUCAGGCUUUAUUAGAGCCCGGUGAAUAUGUCCCUGCUCCUUGCACACACCGCCCGUCAAACCACCCGAGCAGGGUUUAGAUGAGGUCUUAUUUUAAAUAAGUUCGAAUCUAAGCUCAGCGAGGAGGGUUAAGUCGUCACAAGGUAGCCGUAGGGGAACCUGCGGCUG